GUCUUGAGAUAAAUAUAAGAUAAUAAUACUAUUCCUUGACAUGUUCCUGAGAUGAUCAGUGGAGUGCAGCAGCAUUCCAGUGAUAGAAACAAAAUGCUGGAGCAAUUCAGUGGCUCUCCCACUUUUUUGCUAUGGAUUCCAGCAUCUGCAGUCUCUUCUGCUCUCAGUUGAUUCUUAGGUUGAAAUCACUUGUGUCGGGGAGCACAAAAAAAGUGCUGUGAGUACUCUGUGAAACAUCCCCUCCACAAGGCAGAGGGUAAAAAAUACCAAUCGAGUAUCAUAUUUCUCCGAUAAACAUCCUUUUACUCAGUUAUGGGAAAGCCAAGGAAUAGGUCAAUGAAAAUUU